UACGUAGGGGGCAAGCGUUGUCCGGAAUCAUUGGGCGUAAAGGGCGCGUAGGCGGCUCUGCACGUCCGUUGUGAAAUCGCCCGGCUCAACUGGGCGGGGUCAGCGGAUACGGCGGAGCUUGAGCAAGCUAGGGGGCAAUGGAAUUCCCGGUGUAGUGGUGGAAUGCGUAGAUAUCGGGAGGAACACCAGUGGCGAAGGCGGUUGCCUGGGGCUUUGCUGACGCUGAUGCGCGAAAGCGUGGGGAGCGAUCCGG
rnacentral:rRNA from 1 species